rnacentral:misc_RNA from 1 species
GAUGAAGAACGCAGUGAAAUGCGAUAAGUAAUGUGAAUUGCAGAAUUCAGUGAAUCAUCGAAUCUUUGAACGCACAUUGCGCCCGCCAGUAUUCUGGCGGGCAUGCCUGUCCGAGCGUCAUUUCAACCAUCAAGCCCCCGGGCUUGUGUUGGGGACCUGCGGCUGCCCGCAGGCCCUGAAAACCAGUGGCGGGCUCGCUGUCACACCGAGCGUAGUAGCAAUCACCUCGCUCAGGGCGUGCUGCGGGUUCCGGCCGUUAAACAGCCUUACAAAACCCAAGGUUGACCUCGGAUCAGGUAGGAAGACCCGCUGAACUUAAGCAUAUCAUAAGCGGAGGA